CGGAUUGCAGUCUGCAACUCGAGUGCAUGAAGCUGGAAUCGCUAGUAAUCGCGAAUCAGAAUGUCGCGGUGAAUACGUUCCCGGGUCUUGUACACACCGCCCGUCACACCAUGGGAGCCGACAACGCCCGAAGUCAGUGACCUAACCGAGAGGGAGGAGCUGCCGAAGGCGGGGUUGGUAACUGGGGUGAAGUCGUAACAAGGUAAC
rnacentral:rRNA from 1 species